rnacentral:rRNA from 1 species
AUUGAACGCUCGCGGAAUGCCUUACACAUGCAAGUCGAACGGUAGAGGGGGCAACCCCUCGAGAGUGGCGAACGGGUGAGUAAUAUAUCGGAACGUGCCCAGUCGUGGGGGAUAACGUAGCGAAAGUUACGCUAAUACCGCAUACGAUCUACGGAUGAAAGCGGGGGAUCGCAAGACCUCGCGCGAUUGGAGCGGCCGAUAUCAGAUUAGGUAGUUGGUGGGGUAAAGGCUCACCAAGCCAACGAUCUGUAGCUGGUCUGAGAGGACGACCAGCCACACUGGAACUGAGACACGGUCCAGACUCCUACGGGAGGCAGCAGUGGGGAAUUUUGGACAAUGGACGCAAGUCUGAUCCAGCCAUUCCGCGUGCAGGAUGAAGGCCCUCGGGUUGUAAACUGCUUUUGUACAGAACGAAAAGGUUUCUACUAAUACUAGGAGCUCAUGACGGUACUGUAAGAAUAAGCACCGGCUAACUACGUGCCAGCCGCCGCUGUAA